rnacentral:rRNA from 1 species
AGCGAACGCUGGCGGCAGGCUUAACACAUGCAAGUCGAACGCCCGGGCAACCGGGAGUGGCAGACGGGUGAGUAACGCGUGGGAACGUACCCUUUGGUUCGGAAUAACUCAGGGAAACUUGAGCUAAUACCGGAUAAGCCCUUUUGGGGAAAGAUUUAUCGCCGAAGGAUCGGCCCGCGUCCGAUUAGCUAGUUGGUGUGGUAACGGCGCACCAAGGCGACGAUCGGUAGCUGGUCUGAGAGGAUGAUCAGCCACACUGGGACUGAGACACGGCCCAGACUCCUACGGGAGGCAGCAGUGGGGAAUAUUGGACAAUGGGGGCAACCCUGAUCCAGCCAUGCCGCGUGAGUGAUGAAGGCCUUAGGGUUGUAAAGCUCUUUCGGCGGGGACGAUAAUGACGGUACCCGCAGAAGAAGCCCCGGCUAGCUUCGUGCCAGCAGCCGCGGUAAAAC